AUUGAACGCUGGCGGCAGGCCUAACACAUGCAAGUCGAGCGGAUGAAGGGAGCUUGCUCCUGGAUUCAGCUGCGGACGGGUGAGUAAUGCCUAGGAAUCUGCCUGGUAGUGGGGGAUAACGUCCGGAAACGGGCGCUAAUACCGCAUACGUCCUGAGGGAGCAAGUGGGGGAUCUUCGGACCUCACGCUAUCAGAUGAGCCUAGGUCGGAUUAGCUAGUUGGUGGGGUAAAGGCCUACCAAGGCGACGAUCCGUAACUGGUCUGAGAGGAUGAUCAGUCACACUGGAACUGAGACACGGUCCAGACUCCUACGGGAGGCAGCAGUGGGGAAUAUUGGACAAUGGGCGAAAGCCUGAUCCAGCCAUGCCGCGUGUGUGAAGAAGGUCUUCGGAUUGUAAAGCACUUUAAGUUGGGAGGAAGGGCAGUAAGUUAAUACCUUGCUGUUUUGACGUUACCAACAGAAUAAGCACCGGCUAACUUCGUG
rnacentral:rRNA from 1 species